AGUGCACCAACUCUCUGCAUCUGCUCAUUCAGUCUCCCAGGCCUGCGCAGCAACCGGACACCACUGGGGUUGAUGAUAAUGGUCAAUAUCAGAUAAGAUUUAAUCUAAUACACACAGACAGGCAAGUGGACGGACAGUGGAACACAUUUCAGUGUUGUUCUGGAAAUCAGAGUUCGGCAGGCAAAAUCAGACCAUAGAGGAUAAAAAUUACUACAGUGAUCUCAUCAUCUCUGACAUGUCAGCUGAUAUGCUUUGCUUUGACUGUGGAAUACCUUCUCAUCCACUCUAUUAUUUUUAUAUAAUCAGACUGUCCAUCUUCUUCAUCCCUGCUGUUUGUGUGGGGCUGCCAUGUCUGAUUUGGGCUUUUUAUUUUGUGCACCUUCAGAGAAAGACCAGAGGCCGGAUCUCAGCCUUCAUCAUCCUCCUCCUCCUCAGUGACCUGUUGCAACUGCUCCUGUAUCCUGUAUUUAUAGUGCCAGCACUUCUUUCUUUAAAUUUUUUCCCUGGCUUUAACUUGAUUUUUAUAGUGGUUGUAAUUUUUUGUCUGAAAAUCUGUAGCCUUCACCUGCAACAGCUGGUGGCUCUGGAGGGGGUUCUGACACUGAAAUAUCCACAGAUCUCUGCUCAUAUUUUCUCACCCCCCUGUUACGUCAUAAUCUCAAUCAUUAUACUUCUUUUUUCUUUAAUGUUUGUUUUGUUAUUGGUAUUUGGUGGCCCUAAUCAUGGCGUUAUUGGUGUGAGUCUUGGUUUAGGCUCAGUUCUGGCACCUGUGAGUUUAUUGGUUGUCACAGGCAUAAUCACCUACAAAGCUCCGCCCACUCCUGCCAGCACACCUGUCACUCACAACAGACCAGGCUCAUCGUUGAUUCUUGUUAACAUUUUUACUGUAUGUGUGCUUUAUUUACCAUGUGUGCUGGUCCACUGUGUGCAGAUAUGGGCAGAUCUCUUUUUUGACCUCCCAGUGUCUUUGAAAGUGAUGUCUUACUGUUUGUUGAGUUUGACGGUGAUUUCAGAGCCUCUCCUGUGUGUGCUGGUCUGCAGAGAGAAUCUCAGCACUCAGACAAAACAAACUCACACAGAGUUCAACUCUGAACAGACAGCAGUCUGAACUGAUUUGUCAUUAGUUCCUUUGACUUGUAUUUGCUAAACAUGCUUAUUCAUAUCAAUAAAUGCAGUCGAUUACUAAAAAUUGAGACAAGUGGAGAGGAAAUGGAAAAAACACAGACUCCAGGGUCUGUGUACUUCUGCAUCAAUUCAUUUAAACCAUGACAAAAAAAAAAAAAAGAAAAAAAAAAGGGAAUGGUUGUUGUGUUUUUAAAUGCUACUGUGUUUAAAGCUAAAAUUGAAAUUAGAACCGUACACACAAAAUGCUGCCUGUAAAAAUUAAAAAUUGAUUUCUUUUCAGAUUUUUGGUUAUGAC
ensembl:lncRNA